rnacentral:rRNA from 1 species
UACGUAGGGUGCAAGCAUUAAUCGGAAUUAUUGGGCGUAAAGGGCGCGUAGGCGGGGAUAUAAGUCAGAUGUGAAAUUCCAAAGCUCAACUUUGGAGCUGCAUUUGAAACUAUAUUUCUAAGAGGGAUGGAGGAGAAAGCGGAAUUCCACGUGUAGCGGUGAAAUGCGUAGAUAUGUGGAAGAACACCUGUGGCGAAAGCGGCUUUCUAUCUAUUACCUGACGCUGAGGCGCGAGAGCAAGGGGAGCAAA